CAUGACCAGGUGGCUCGAGAGGGGUGUGUCGAACCACCACGGAAAAUUAUCUGUGCUGAGGACUGGACGAUCUCUCUAAGUUGAUUGACUAUUGCUUCUUGUGUAUCCGUGUCCCUUGGAAAGAAGCCCCCUACAGGAGGAGGUAUAGGGAUCAUUGCGUCACAGCCCUUGCAUGGAUAUUGACCAUCUGUCAGAAGAACCGUCUUCAGGUCUGGAGCUCGACCCAUCACGGUACUUGCAAAUAACAAGUGAUGGUCCAGUAGGGGCCUAAAACCACCAAACUGGAACUCUUUCAGUUGCCACUU
rnacentral:rRNA from 1 species